rnacentral:lncRNA from 1 species
GUGUAUGAAAAAUCUAGGAUUUUUUUAAUUUCCCAUGUGUAAUAAUUCGUUACGAACUCAAAGAUGACGAAGGAGGGGACAUACUCUUUGUUUAUUAUUUCAUCGUAAUUGAGCUAUUAGAUUCUACCUACCUAAGAAUUGUAUUGCUAGAAAUAGCAAAACAUAUUCUUGAUCGUUGAUUAAUUGUUAGAGUAUCUGUCAAGCAGGCGUCAUUUAGAUAUAAAUAAAAUAUAAUUUAC